rnacentral:lncRNA from 10 species
CUGGAUUCUUUAAGGAUGAAGACAUGGGGGUUACCAAGCACAAUGGAUGAGCUAUGCACUUUCAAAAAGGGGCCAGAAAAGGGAAAAUCUGUGUGCUUCCACCUGUACGAUUAGGAACUGCUGAAACACGCGCCUCACACGUUUAAUCAUGGGAGGAGAAGCCCUCCCGGCAAGAACAAUCCAUCAUCCGACAGACGCUUGAUUGUAACAGAUGACGGAGCACAGGAAAGAAGUCUCGAUCCAGACCCCAAGAGAGGCUUGUUGAAUGUCACACAAGAAAGAAUUCGGGGCGAGUCCACAGUGCAAAGCAAAAGCAAGUUUAUUAACAGAGUAAAGUGGUGAAAGUACAGCUACUCCAUAGACAGAGCAGGGCGUUCCCGAAAGCUAGAGGAGGAACGCAUCCACCGAACCACAACAUUUGGAGAUUACCAACAUGGUUUUCAGCCCUCAGCUUUGGCGAGACUUCUUCCUUUUCAUUCUUUUCUGGGCAAAUCUAAACCUUUGGAGAAGUAGAUGAGUGAAGUCAAUUGCAAAGGGACUGGAUCUCUCUCUAUCACCCAGACUGGAGUGCAGUGGCACAAUCGUGGCUCACUGCAGUCUUGAACUCCUGGCCUCAAGAGAUCUUCCUGCCUCAGCCUCCUGAAUGGUUGCGACUACAGGUGAGAGCCUGGCUCAUUUAACCUUUUAAAAGUGCAUGGUUCAGUGGCAUUAAGUACAUUCCCCUUGUGCAAUUGGUACUCCCAUUCACUUCCAGAGCUUUUUUCUUUUCCCCAAAGUGAAACUCCAUAACUAUUCAGCAAUAACUCCUCAUCACUCCUUUCCCACUUCCCCAGCCCUUGGUAACCACGAAUCUACUUUUUGUUUCUAUGAACUUGACUAUCCUGGGUACCACAUGGAAGUGGAAUCAUACAAUAUUUGUCCUUUUGUGUCUGGCUUGUUUAACUUGGCAUGAUGCUUAGUUCACAUGGUGUGAUGUCCUCUAGGUUCAUCCAUGUUGUAGUAUGUAUCAGAAUUUCAUUCCCCUUUUAAGGCUGUAUUAUAUUCCAUUGUGUACAUACACCACAUUUUGUUUAUUAUUUAAGUAAUCUGAAUUUGUUUGUUUGUUUUGUUUUAAACUUUCUAUGCUGAUAUUGUAUUCCUCUGACAAUUAAAAUAAUGGAAUUGCAGAAGACAC